UCAACAACAAAUUAUACGCCUUACGAGU
rnacentral:sRNA from 1 species